rnacentral:rRNA from 1 species
UACAGAGGUCUCGAGCGUUGUUCGGAUUCAUUGGGCGUAAAGGGUGCGUAGGUGGCGGGGCAAGUCAGGUGUGAAAUCCCGGGGCUCAACCCCGGAACUGCAUUUGAUACUGCCUUGCUCGAGUACUGGAGAGGAGACUGGAAUUUACGGUGUAGCAGUGAAAUGCGUAGAUAUCGUAAGGAAGACCAGUGGCGAAGGCGAGUCUCUGGACAGUUCCUGACGCUGAGGCACGAAGGUCAGGGGAGCAAACGGG